rnacentral:piRNA from 1 species
UGGUUCUCGACUGUGCUCAGCUAUUUCU